GCCCCUGUAGCGCAAUGGAUAGCGCAUUAGCCUCCGGAGCUAAUGGUACAGGUUCGACUCCUGUCAGGGGCA
rnacentral:tRNA from 1 species